GUAAGCGCAAGUCAUCAGCUUGCGUUGAUUACGUCCCUGCCCUUUGUACACACCGCCCGUCGCUACUACCGAUCGAAUGGCUCAGUGAGGCGUCCGGACUGGCCCAGGGAGGUGGGCAACUACCCCCCCGGGCCGGGAGGCUCUCCAAACUCGGUCAUUUAGAGGAAGUAAAAGUCGUAACAAGGUCUCCGUUGGUGAACCAGCGGAGGGAUCAUUA
rnacentral:rRNA from 1 species